AAAAACAUGAUAAAAGUUGCUCGUUAGAUUUCAAAGUUGUAGUUCACUUUGAUUUGGAUUGUUUCUACUGCCAAGUGGAGCGAGUGAGAUUAGAUAUCCCUGAAAGCACACCUCUUGUAGUUCGACAGUGGGAUGGGCUUAUUGCUGUAAACUACGCG